CCUGUGACCAGAAACUGCUCCUGGAACAGACUCUUUGACUGAUAAUCGAAACAAGAUGGCUUCAGGUCUUUUCUUCACUCUGCUGCUUGGUCUGAGCGUUGGACUCUGGGCUGGAGCUGAUGCGGGAUGUAGACUGAGAGCGGCUACCUGCGAUGACUGCCCUCAUGGUUGGACUUAGUACCAAGGUCGCUGCUUCCUGUUUGUGAACGAGGAAAAGAACUGGGCUGAUGCUGAGAAACACUGCCUCUAACUGGAAGGACACCUGGCCUCCUUCCACAGUAAAGAUGAGUAUAAGUUCAUCAGAGACCUGAUCUACAAAGCAACUGG